CAGUGGAUUUUGGUGAACUGCAAAUGCUGCUGCCUGAUCGUUCCUCUGGAAAUUUUGUCUCAGAGGAGUACCCAGCCGUGUAAGGUGUCAGUCCGCCCCUACUGGGGGGUGCCUCCCAGUUAGGCUACUCGCGGGUCAGGGACCCACUUGAGGAGGCAGUCUGCCCGUUCUAAGAUCUCGAGCUGCAUGCUGGGAGAACCACUACUCUCUUCAAAGCUGUCAGACAAGGACAUUUAAGUCUGCAGAGGUUACUGCUGUCUUUUUGUUUCUCUGUGCCCUGCCCCCAGAGGUGGAGCCUAUAGAGGCAGGCAGGCCUCCUAGAGCUGUGGUGGGCUCCACCCAGUUCGAGCUUCCAGGCUGCUUUGUUUACCUAAUCAAACAACUAACUAGGCAGUGUCGGGCGCCCCUCCCCCAGCCUCGCUGCCGCCUUGCAGUUUGAUCUCAGACUGGUGUGCUAGCAAUGAGGGAGACUCCGUGGGCAUACAACCUUCCGAGCCAGAACCUGGAUGCUGACGGGGCCACCUCUGAUCUUGUGAGGAACUAGUCAGCGAGCAAUUGCUGAAGCUGCAAAAGUCUCUUUAUUGAUAGGCACAACAGCUUGAAGAAACCAAACGGACUGGAUGCCAAAAGCAACUUUGUGACCCCCUAUCAGAGGAAGUCAAGACUGGCAUUAACAGAGCCAAGACUGCAAGUGAUACAGCCUAGGCAUGUGUAACAGAAACAGCUUUGACCUCUAACAACAUCCAGAACCAAUGAUUCCUCCUCAUGGAACCAAGAAGAUGGGACAUGACCAGAACCUGCUGCAAUAUGACCACCGGCACUCUUUCAAAGUAAGGGGUCUGUUGGCCAGGAAGAUCUGGGACUAAAAUCUGCCUCAACAUGCCUUAUUGUAAAUGGUCAAAUUUGAAGACCUCCAACUGGACCUUGCCAAGCCAACAUUUGUAAAUCCUUUCUCUUGUCAUCCAACCCCUUAAUACUUGCCCCAGGCCCCAAGUGAGGGAGAUUGAUUUGAGUCCUUCUCCUGUCUCCUCGCUGGCCAGCCUUGUAACAAAGCCUUUCUUUUCUCAAAAGCUGGUGCCAUAGUAUUAGCUUCUAUGUGUGUGGGGCAGGGAGUCCAUUUGCUGUAUAACAGUCGCUCAAUAUCCGCCACCAGCAUGAACAAACACUAAUGUUUUCCAUACUUGCUUCUGAAUCCUUUAAAUGAAAAAAAUAGAUGAUGAAACUGAGCUCCCUUUUAGGUCUGUCUCCAAUUUUAUUCCCUUUUCUCCCAAAGUCAUGAACGUGUAUUUUUUCUCAUCCAUGUUGUUAUGUACAUGUGUUACCUAUAUUUUUCAAUAAAUAGCAUGCAGCAAUAUUUUGCACUUUUAUUCCAUAGAUGUUAUCAUAAUGAACAAUCGAUCUGCAAUGUGUUUUUCUAGACAUUAGAUUUUUAAGAUCUAUGUUGAUAUAUACAGACCCCUUUAUUCAUUUUUAACUCCUGAAUAGUGUUUCCUUUUAUGAAUAUGUCAUGCUUAUUCAUUUGUCUAAUGAUGGACAUUUAAGUUGUUUUCAAUUUUUGUUAUUGCAACAAUAUACAAUGAGUAUCCUUGUAUUUAUUCUUGGUGGAAAUGGGUGAGUUUCUCUGCAAUAUCUAUAUAGCAGUGAAAUUUGGGGGUAUUAAAAAUAUAGCCGUAUUCAUCUUUUUUUCUAGGUAUGACCAAAACCAUCUGUAGUUUACACACUCCUGCCCCGGCACUGUAUGUGUUUCCAUUAUGUCCCAUCAUUGCUUAUACUUGGUACUUUUAGACUUUCAAUAUUUUGCCAAUCUGAUGGGUGAAAAUGUUUUUAUUUAAUUUAUGACUUUAU